UACGAAGGGUGCAAGCGUUACUCGGAAUUACUGGGCGUAAAGGGCGCGUAGGCGGCGUGUCAAGUCAGGCGUGAAAGCCCCGGGCUCAACCUGGGAACCGCGCUUGAGACUGGCAUGCUCGAGUUCGGGAGAGGAUGGUGGAAUUCCCAGUGUAGAGGUGAAAUUCGUAGAUAUUGGGAAGAACACCGAUGGCGAAGGCAGCCAUCUGGACCGACACUGACGCUGAGGCGCGAAAGCGUGGGGAGCAAACAGG
rnacentral:rRNA from 1 species